rnacentral:misc_RNA from 1 species
ACGUUAUGCAUGAACGUAAUGCUCACAACUUCCCUCUAGACCUAGCUGCUGUUGAAGCUCCAUCCAUAAAUGGAUAAGACUUAGAUCUUAGUGUAUACGAGUUGUUGAAGGAGCAAUACCGCAUUUCUUGUUUUAGCAAGAGUGUUGGUAUUGCUCCUUCAUUUAGUUUUUAGCUUAGUAAUGUUUUACUAUCAUAAGAUAAGUGUUUUUGCCAUUUUAUUUUUUGACUUAAGCUUAAGUCAAAAAAUAACUAUAGGGUUGGUUCAUUGAGUAUAUUAUUUUAUUUUCGUUCUAUAAUUAAAAAUUAAAAUCAAAUAUGUCUAAGAUUUUUUUAUUUAAAAUGAAGGUAAGAAAAACUAAAUUAAAUAAUGAUGAGUGCUAAAAAUAGAAUCUAUUGAAUCUUUUAGAAAGAGUAGGGGCGGAUGUAGCCAAGUGGAUUAAGGCAGUGGAUUGUGAAUCCACCAUGCGCGCC